rnacentral:rRNA from 1 species
AGUGAACGCUGGCGGUAGGCCUAACACAUGCAAGUCGAACGGCAGCACAGAGGAGCUUGCUCCUUGGGUGGCGAGUGGCGGACGGGUGAGGAAUACAUCGGAAUCUACUCUGUCGUGGGGGAUAACGUAGGGAAACUUACGCUAAUACCGCAUAAGACCUACGGGUGACAGCAGGGGAUCUUCGGACCUUGCGCGAUUGAAUGAGCCGAUGUCGGAUUAGCUAGUUGGCGGGGUAAAGGCCCACCAAGGCGACGAUCCGUAGCUGGUCUGAGAGGAUGAUCAGGCAGACGUGAACUGAGACACGGGCCAGACUCCUACGGGAGGCAGCAGUGGGGAAUAUUGGACAAUGUGCGCAAGCCUGAUCCAGCCAUACCGCGUGGGUGAAGAAGGCGUUCGGGUUGUGAAGCCCUUUUGUUGGGAAAGAAAUCCAUCUGGUUAAUACCCGGAUGGGAUGACGGUACCCAAAGAAUAAGCACCGGCUAACUUCGUGCCAGCCGCCGCCGUAA